UUCAGUGACGUAUAAUAAAAACUAGACUGCGCGCAUAACUCUUUCACGUGGUAAUUCGGUUUCAACUUCCGGUCAGGGCAAAACAUUGCUCUGUGGUACGAUUUCACGUGAAAGUUGACGUCCUUUGAUAUUCUUACAAUUGUUGUAAAUGCGACUGGCUUCGUGUGUGUGCGUGAGAAAUCACACAAGUUCUGUCGCAAUGAACAUUUAUUUAAGUACGAGGACAUGUAAAUCGCCGGUAAAAACAUAGAAUAACACCUCGGAGAGCUGGCAAAACCGUGCAGGCGUUCGCAAAGAAGCAACUUUUCACCGGAGUUCCUGUUCAAUACGCGAUCCUGUUCUGUGAAACUGGUUUCUCCGACCAAGAGGACAAGACCAUGCUCAUUAAAGAGAAGCAAAAUCUUUUUGGAACCUCUUACCGCAUUGACCCAGUUGAUGUAAUCAAACGGCUGACGAUGAUACACGAUGUGCCACAUUUCAAAUCAAAUUGCUAAAACGCAAAGAGUCCGCU